rnacentral:snRNA from 1 species
GUGCUCGCUUCAGCAGCACAUAUACUAAAAU